AAUCAGCGCUGGCGGCGUGCCUCAGACAUGCAAGUCGAACGAUUAAACUUCCCUUCGGGGAAGAUAUAAAGUGGCGCACGGGUGAGUAACACGUAAGUAAUCUACCUUCGAGUGGGGAAUAACAUCGGGAAACCGAUGCUAAUACCGCAUAACGCAGCGGCACCUUAUGGUGACAGUUGUUAGAGGAGCAAUUCGCUUGAAGAGGAGCUUGCGGCAGAUUAGCUAGUUGGUAAGGUAAUGGCUUACCAAGGCUUCGAUCUGUAUCCGGUCUAAGAGGACGGUCGGACACACUGACACUGAAUAACGGGUCAGACUCCUACGGGAGGCAGCAGUCGGGAAUUUUGGGCAAUGGGCGAAAGCCUGACCCAGCAACGCCGCGUGAAGGAUGAAGUAUUUCGGUAUGUAAACUUCGAAAGAAUGGGAAGAACUCAAUGACGGUACCAUUUAUAAGCUCCGGCUAACUACGUGCCAGCAGCCGCGGUAAUACGUAGGGAGCAAGCGUUGUUC
rnacentral:rRNA from 1 species